AGAGAGAGAGGGAGGGUUUAGAGUUGAAAGGGUGAGGGAGAAGAGAGAAAAACCCCAAAUCCCCAUUCUAUACACUCUUCUCAUGCCAAAAUUGCAUAUAAACCCCUCAACUUUACCUCUCUUGCAACAGCCCGAACUGGGCAUUUUCGGGCUUUGAGGACCGGUCCUUGCGAUGAGGGACCGGUCCCUGAGAGACCGGUCCUUGGCUGAGAGACCGGUCCCCGAAGGUCCAGAAAUCAGCCUUCAAGGACUUAGCCAAAUUUUCAGCAUUUUCACCAAUUUUCGUCCGUUUUCGCUCGUUUUCGCUCGUUUGACCUCCGAUUCUUUUCAAAUCGAACCGAGACCCACCAAACAUGUUUUCGAACAUAUUUUCAUCAUCUUUUUAUCCACG
rnacentral:lncRNA from 1 species